rnacentral:sRNA from 1 species
UCUUGGUCUAUAGAGCAUACAUAACAAGACUCUGUUGCUAUAACUACUGGGGUCAUUACCGAGCAGAGAAAGAAUGAUCUCCUUCUGAGAUCACCUUUAGGAAUAUUUGAAAAGAGAUGUGAACAGCAGACACUUGCCUAUGAAGGAGCAUGAGUGGCUCCAUGGACAUUCUGUGCUCUUUGAAGCUCUGAGGAAGCUGGUUCUAUGAGAUACUUUCCUGAGCUUGGAUACUGGCAAAAUACCCAUGGCCAGGUGUGUCAGGAAGCUCCUGCCCACAUCCAGGACACAGCUCAAAGAAGACUCUGCAGCCUGCUCUCAUCUAUUCUGACCCACCCUACUUACUUGAUGCCAGUUGCUCUACUGUGUCUUCUGCCAGCCCAGACUGAGAUGGGCAAACUCCUGCUCCUCCUGCUGCUGGGGGCUUUUGUCCUUGUGUUGAUCCAAGGCAUUUGUGAGUUGCCUGACCUGAGUGCUGAGACUCAAACUCGAGUUCUCUGCAGGAGCAGUACCUGCUGUUCAAGUAAUAAUAUGAAUGUCCUGCAACAUGUUUGUGAAUGGCAAAUGUAUAGAAGGUGAGGGUAAAUGCACCAUGGAGGAAGGUGGUGCAUGCAGAACUGGAGAUAUCUAUCAUUUCAAUCCAAGAGUUUCCCUGGUGUGCCUGCUGGAUCCCCCUCCAUACAUGCUCUGCUGAAGAUGAAGCAAGUCUUUGUUGUUUUUGUUGUUGUUGUUGUUGUUUUGUUUUGUUUCUUUUUGUUUUAUUAAUCAUUUUAUUCAUUUACAUUUCAAAUUAUUUCUCUCUUCACAGAGGAAGCAACUCAUAUAACCUCUAUGCAUCCUUCUUUCCUCUGUCUUGGAUGCUGACUCCUUCCUACCCAACAUCAGAUACCAAACAUUCUCCAUUCAUCUUCAUUUCCUGCCUUUCUUCAUUUAUAUGUGAAAAUCAUCACCAAUCUUGCUUGUCUUGCAUUUAUCUCUCCCUCACAAUCACUAAGUUGCUCUGGCUGACGAGCUACCAGGCUU